rnacentral:lncRNA from 1 species
AGCUGGAUAAAAUCAGGAUGUUAAGUUGCCUGGAUUUCUUAAAACACAGAAGAAGCUGACAACAGUAGCUGACAAUUGGAUUGUUGACAUCCAAAACUCAACCUGCUCAUUGACUUCUGAGGAUGGAAAUUAUUCAAGUCAAGCCAUGUCUGCAAAUUACACAGAAGCCAACGGGCCCCAAUAUUUUAGGAAGUUAGACAGGUGAGGUUCAUGCUCCAGUUCUCUUACAGAAUGGUCUACCAAGGUCCACCUUGUAAGGGAAACUUUUUCUCAAGUAUUUGAAGUUUUAUCAUGAAGAGGGAACCAGGAUGAAACUUUCUCUCCAGCAGGCUAGCUCAAAAGUGUGGUUAAACAGGGACAAAACAAAGGCCACAUAGGACAGAAAGCUUUUAGUUAAGGGGAUUGAAUGUACAUGGAAAAGCUCAGUGAGGAAAACAGUGGUGCACAAGGUAAAACCUCACACUGGCUAGUGUUCUGCUGCCUGCAGAGCCCAGAUUAGAUCUUGUCUGACUACACA